UAGUUAUGAUCUUGAAACUCAAAAAAUUUGGCGGUAUUUUAGUCUAUUUAGAGGAACCUGUAGUAUAAUCGAUAAUCCACGAUGGACCUAACUUAAUUUUGUUUUUCAGUUUGUAUACCGCUGUUAUUUGAAAAUUUUAUAAGAAUAAUAAUUUUCAUGAUUUUUUAUUAAAAAGUAAAUCAGGUCAAGGUGCAGCUUAUAAUUAAGUAUUUAUGGGUUACAAUAAAAUUAUUUAUAUGGAUCAAAGUUUGAAAUUAUUUUGUAAAAGCGGAUUUAAUAGUAAAUUUUUAAAGAUAAAAGAAUUGAUUUUAGCUCUAAAAUAUGCACACAUCGCCCGUCGCUCUUGUUAAUUAAUAUAAGAUAAGUCGUAACAUAGUAGAUGUACUGGAAAGUGUAUCUAGAAUGACAAUUUAAAGCUUUAUUAGUAAAGUAUUUCAUUUACACUGAAAAGAUUAUUGUGCAAAUCAAUAUAAAUUGAUAAUAUAUAAUUAUUAAUAUUUUUAUUUUUUAUAUUAUUUAUUAAAAAUAAUUAUUUAUUUUUGUUUUAGUAUUUUAUAAAAAACAAAUAAUUUUAAUGAUAGUUUAUUAUGUAUUGUGAAAGAAUUUUGAAAUAAUUGAAAAAUAUAUAGUUUAAAAGAAAACUUUAUUU
rnacentral:rRNA from 1 species